CGGAGGGGGCGAGCGUUAUUCGGAAUUAUUGGGCGUAAAGGGCGCGUAGGCGGCUGGACAAGUCAAAGGUGAAAUCCCUCGGCUCAACUGAGGAACUGCCUUUGAAACUGUCCGGCUUGAGUCCGGGAGGGGGUAGCGGAAUUCCCAGUGUAGCGGUGAAAUGCGUAGAUAUUGGGAGGAACACCAGUGGCGAAGGCGGCUACCUGGACCGGAACUGACGCUGAUGCGCGAAAGCGUGGGUAGCAAACAGGAUUAGAUACCCUGGUAGUCCACGCUGUAAACGAUGGGUGCCCGGUGUCGCGGGUAUCGACCCCUGCGGUGCCUUAGCCAACGCGUUAAGCACCCCGCCUGGGGAGUACGGUCGCAAGGCUG
rnacentral:rRNA from 1 species